rnacentral:rRNA from 1 species
AGAGUUUGAUCCUGGCUCAGGAUAAACGCUGGCGGCGUGCCUAAAACAUGCAAGUCGAACGGACCCUUCGGGGUUAGUGGCGAACGGCUGAGUAACACGUGGGUGACCUGCCUUCGAACGGGGGAUAACUGCCCGAAAGGGUGGCUAAUACCGCAGAUGUCGUUUCUUCGGUGAGAUGACUGAACCGUUUAGGGUUCGGAGAGGGGCCUGCGUCCGAUUAGCUAGCUGGUGGGGUAAAGGCCUACCAGGGCGACGAUCGGUAGCUGGUCUGAGAGGAUGAUCAGCCAGACUGGGACUGCGAGACGGCCCAGACUCCUACGGGAGGCAGCAGUUAGGAAUUUUGGGCAAUGGGCGAAAGCCUGACCCAGCAACGCCGCGUGGGUGAAGAAGGCUCUCGGGUCGUAAAGCCCUUUUCCCAGGGAAGAUAGUGACGGUACCUGGGGAAUCAGCCCCGGCUAACUACGUGCCAGCAGCCGCGGUAAUAC